CCUACGGGCGGCAGCAGUGGGGAAUAUUGCACAAUGGGGGAAACCCUGAUGCAGCGACGCCGCGUGAGUGAAGAAGUAAUUCGUUAUGUAAAGCUCUAUCAGCAGGGAAGAAAAUGACGGUACCUGAGUAAGAAGCCCCUGCUAACUACGUGCCAGCAGCCGCGGUAAUACGUAGGGGGCAAGCGUUAUCCGGAUUUACUGGGUGUAACGGGAGCGUAGACGGCAGUGCAAGUCUGGAGUGAAAGGCCGGGGCUCAACCCCCGGACUGCUCUGGAUACUGUGAAGCUGGAGUGCAGGAGAGGUAAGCGGAAUUCCUGGUGUAGCGGUGAAAUGCGUAGAUAUCAGGAGGAACACCGGCGGCGAAGGCGGCUUACUGGACUGUAACUGACGUUGAGGCUCGAAGGCGUGGGGAGCAAACAGGAUUAGAUACCCGGGUAGUC
rnacentral:rRNA from 1 species